CCUUCCAUCUAAAAGAACUGUGCUUAAAUUACAGACUCCAAGUCUCUUGGUUUAUGUAAUAAUGCUAGCAGAGUGAAAGCAUGGAAGCAGACUAAUGCGCCCUGUGCUGGAAAUGAAACACGGUCGGACCUCUUUCUUAAUGUCCCGUGACCUUUGUUUCAAAGUUCAGUGCGACAUUU